AUGAUGGAAGAUAUUGAUAGGGAACUUGGGGAAGCUGAUGUGCGGAAACACGGCAAGAAUAAAGCUCAGACGUCCAGCUCUGAUAAUGAUACAUCGUCACUUCCAAGAGAAAGUGGGGGGGAAGACCAAAGAGAGAUGAUCAAGAGACACUUUCCUAUUUCCAUGGGAGCAGCUGAUAAUGAAAAAUAUGAUUCGGAGCUCUCAGCACUGCAUACACAACUGGCCAUAUCAAACACAGCUCUAAUACUGGCACAUGUAGACACAGGGCAUUCAAACACACAAACACAUAAAGAAACUGAGGCUGAGAAGGAGGCUAGUCAAUAUGUGAGUGUGAUUGCUAAAGAUGACUCUACCCAUUUGAGGUGGCCUGUCAGUUGGCUUAAGUUCACCAAGGCUCAACCCCACAUUUCAUACAGCUGCAACCCCCAGAGCUUGAACCUUCAACUACCAGAACAAUUAAAAACUGAUUUUCAAGAGUUACAACGGAAUCACCCGUGUGCUCUUUCUGAGGAAUCUAUUUCAUGUGUGCCAACAAUGCUUACACCCGACACUCCUUCCUCUUUUCAAAGACAAACAAUACAAGUUGUGGGCGUACACUGUCAAGAAAAAGCUGAGGACACAAUCAAGGAACAAAUCAAUGAGGAGACAGAAAGCAUUUCAUUAUCAGAAAUGAAAGCAGAGAAGGAGAGCAGCAUGCCAAGUAUGAAGAAUGAGAAAUGCAAAAGGCCCAACUCCGAUUCAUUUGAGUCCACUCAUAGUGGCAGCUCCAGUACAAACUCCCAGAAUCCUCAGGGAGACAGAUUACAGGGUAUAGAAGGGAUCAGGGAGAGAGCCAUUGAAGCCCUGAGCUGUAAAUUAGAGUCUGUCACCCAAACUGGCACACAGAGGACGUGCAACAGGCUAGCCUGGUGUGACUAUGGGAGUGAGGCAACAUGUGCCAGUGCUCCGCAAUCAUAUAUAGGCAACUCAAAAGCAUCCAGAAAAAAGUCAAAAGCUAUGACAAAGAAAGCCAAGCUGGGAAUGCGGAAGAAAUAUGGGAAUAAAAAGUCCUUUAUAAAGGGUCAAUCGGUGAGGUGCAAAGUAAAAAGUGUUGUCUCUGCAGUCUCCAUUGGAGAAGCGAGGAGAGGAGAAGCUGGAAGGGAAUGGGGUAAAAAAAUGAUGCAAAAAGAGACCAAAUUGAGGAGGAUUGGGCGUGCACAGAGUUCCUCUCUCAUGGGGAGCUGUAGGGAGGAACUGAAAUCUCUCUCUGUCAGGAAGAGAAGGCCUCAUAGGUCACAACCAGAGAGAGAAAAGGCUAAAAACUCCCUUGCCCACUCCCAGCUCACUAGACACACAGCAGACAGAGGUACAGUCGGGGGAAGAAUUCGAGAUGGAAAUGCAUCAAUUUCUCCCUGGCGAUCUCCCUUCUCUGUACAUUCCUUCUCUCCAGGACGUAACUCAGCCCUGUUUUGGGGAAAGGGUCACCAUAGCAACCCCAGGAGUUUCAUUGACUGCUGUUACCCUGACAACAGCAAUGGCAGCAGGCUAGAGAAUAAGAGGAAACUCCUCUGUGGGGACAGGAAAUUCAUUCAGACUAAGCAAAAGACUUUAGAGCAUUGUGAAGUCUGGAAGGAAAGGGGAAGGAAUUCUGGAGGAUUUUCAGCUUGUAGUGAGAUUGCUAAACAAUGGGACUGGAUGAGAGAGAAUCAUCCUGGUAGUGAUGAUAAAGCCAGCUCAAGGAUGAGGUGGAACUCUAAAAGAAAAACAUCAGAUUGGCAUCAAGUGGCAAGGUUCAGCCCAAGUCCCAGUUGCUGGGGUAGAAGGCACAGACAUUUUAGCACAGAAGAUAUUGAAUGGGACAAAUGCAGUGUGGAUAGAUGGACAUGGGGCAGCAGCGACAGCUGGGAGGACAAGGAGACACGUAGGUCACCCUCCAGAACAGGUGAUGAAAGUACAGACAGUCCUAACAGUGCAUGGAGAUACGGAGGCACCAGAUACUUAAGUUCAAGACAGUGCUCUAGUCCAGAUUGGUGGACAAAUAAGCCAGUAUACAGCUGCCAAAGUGCGUUUGACACUGAGGGCAGCAGAUUUCACAGUCCACGGUCGGGCAGUCCUUGUAGUAGUACCAGCAUGUCCGAGCUGAGCUUGGAGUGGAGCAGGAGUAGUACGUGGUCUGGGGCUUCUGUGGAUGGCUUGGCAAUUAACUCCUGUGUAGCAUCCUUAAAGUCUUUUGAGGAAUCUGAGGAGGACAAAAAGCACAGCAGUCCCAUGUCUACUUCAGAUGUCUUUUCCGUAAACUCUGUUUCCUCUCCACUGAUACACACUUGUUCUGCAACAACACAAAGUUCCAGUGGAAAGCGAUGUGAUGAAAAUCCCUCACAGUUAAAUGAUCCCCACGCAAUACCUAACCUUAGCCACGAAUCAUCUUCUGCUCUCACUAUAAGGAGCUCAAACACAUUUACUCAAGAAUUAUCAAUAAGUAAGACUAAUACCAUGAAAUCAGCAAAGUUGCCGCUUCUUCCUCUGAUAGGUAAACUACCUUCAAUCCAAAGAAAAGCUCUGAGGAAAAGGGAAUUGUUAGGAAAGACUCUGGAAAAGGAGAGGGAAGGGGCUGAAGAUGGUAAAAGUUGUACAGUAGAUCCUGACAGAGGUGCCACUGACAGCCUCAACACAGUUGAAUCAAUCCCCAGUGGCAUGCCACAUCUCUGCUCAUUGCUGACUGGGACUGGUGACAAACAGGCAAGUGCAGAGUCAGCACCACCUAUCAGUUUUACGGCUGAGGAGAUGGACAAUUAUCGGCUCCUGCAGGAGCAGGCAAAGGAGCACAUGCAGAAAGUUCUUGAAAGGACACACGAAUGUCCUGAAACAACCUAUAUACACAAAGCACAAACAAAUAAUGGUGAGACUUUAGAGAAACAACACACAUCAGCGCCCUGGCAAAGUCAUACACAGUCCCAAACCCAACUUAUUCCUCCAGACACAAUGCAAAGACAAUUAUCACACAGCGUCCAAGUCAGUCUCCCACUUCCACAAGUGCCCCUGCAAGAGAACUUUAAUCAUUCAGUGGUCUUUGGUGUCCACAGCCUCAGUCAUCUUCAAGCAUCAACACAUCUCUCAAACCUUCAUCCCAUCAUAUUACAACACACCCCCCUAGCUGUGCCCCUCCACACUUCUACUACCUCCUCCCCCUCCACUGCUAUCCCACAACACCCUGCUCACCUUCUUCACCCAACUCUGCACUUUCCCUCCUCAGUACCUCAACCUAUUCACCUCUCUCCCUUCACCAAAUCUUCCUUGUUACCCUCCAUUCUUCUGUCUCAUCACCCCCUUCCUCUCUUUCCUCAGCCAGCUUUCUAUACAACCCCAAUCACACCACUCUCCCCAGCAUCCCUGCAACCCUUAAGUCCACAGCCUUUCAUGGACAGAUUGUGGCCCGUCAAGUUUCAACAGAAGGCAUGA
rnacentral:lncRNA from 1 species